GAGUACGGCCGCAAGGCUGAAACUUAAAGGAAUUGGCGGGGGAGCACUACAACGGGUGGAGCCUGCGGUUUAAUUGGACUCAACGCCGGAAAACUCACCGGGGGCGACAGCAAUAUGUAGGUCAGGUUAAAGGUCUUACCUGAAUCGCUGAGAGGAGGUGCAUGGCCGUCGUCAGUUCGUACUGUGAAGCAUCCUGUUAAGUCAGGCAACGAGCAAGACCCGUGCCCACCGUUACCAGCAUAUCCUUUAUGGAUGAUGGGGACUCUGUGGGGACCGCUGCUGCUAAAGCAGAGGAAGGUGCGGGCUACGGUAGGUCAGUAUGCCCCGAAUCUCCCGGGCUACACGCGGGCUACAAUGGUUGGGACAAUGGGUAUCUACUCCGAAAGGAGUUGGCAAUCUCUUAAACCCAAUCGUAGUUCGAAUUGAGGGCUGUAACUCGCCCUCAUGAAGCUGGAAUCCGUAGUAAUCGCGUUUCAACAUAGCGCGGUGAAUCUGUCCCUGCUCCUUGCACACACCGCCCGUCAAACCAUCCGAGUGAGGUAUGGGUGAGGGCACGAACUUAGUGUCGUGCUCGAACCUAAAUUUCGCAAGGAGGGUUAAGUCGUAACGAGGUAGCCGUAGGGGAAUCUGCGGCUGGAUCACCUCCU
rnacentral:rRNA from 1 species